rnacentral:rRNA from 1 species
AGCAGCCGCGGUAAUUCCAGCUCCAAUAGCGUAUAUUAAAGUUGUUGCAGUUAAAAAGCUCGUAGUUGAAUUUCGGGAUCAGAUUGUCGGUCGUGCCUCGGUACGUACUGGCAUUAUUGGUUCCUACCUUCUGAAGAACCGCGAUGUCAUUAAUUUGGUGUCGUGGGGAAUCAGGACUGUUACUUUGAAAAAAUUAGAGUGUUUAAAGCAGGCGCACGCUUGAAUACAUUAGCAUGGAAUAAUGAAAUAGGACGUUUGAUUCUAUUUUGUUGGUUUCUAGGAUUGACGUAAUGAUUAAUAGGGAUAGUUGGGGGCAUUAGUAUUCAAUUGUCAGAGGUGAAAUUCUUGGAUUUAUUGAAGACUAACUACUGCGAAAGCAUUUGCCAAGGAUGUUUUCAUUAAUCAAGAACGAAAGUUAGGGGAUCGAAGACGAUCAGAUACCGUCGUAGU